GUGGGUAUAUCUCAGUGGUAGAGCACGUGCUUAUCAUGUACAAGGUCCUGGGUUCAAGCCCCAGUACCUCCA
rnacentral:tRNA from 1 species